ACUGUUGACUAAAAUGUGGAUCACAGAAAACAUGGAUUUUCUAAAAGGAAUGGGAAGGAUCAUUCUGCUGCUCCCCUGUGAAUGUAUUUUGAGCAAAAAAAAAGCCUGGAGAAAAUGUGUUUGAAUUCUGCAGCCUUGCAUGGUGAGGAGAUGAAUACCAUGAAAGAAUAGAGCAGAAACCAGUGAACCUGAGGGACUUCAAUGAAACUGAACAUGGGCACCAGAUCUGUGAAGAUGGCUGGAAAUGGUCCGUGGAGAAUUCCAAGGCAUGCAGCUUUGAACUGGAUAUGAAAUAAAUGGGAAACUAAGCGCCAGUGGCUGCCAGUGGGGCUGUGAUAAGGCAAUGUGCAAACACUUCCUCUGAUAGCCCUGGAAUUAGCUGCAAUUAAGUGUGAUUCUGAUGAGGAACACAUGGAAUUUCCAGUUCAUCACCGUGAGCAGCGCUUGUGCAAAAUUCCUGUAGCAAACUGUGAAUCUCUGCAGGCGCUUCCUGAGGUUGGUUGUGUGCACAAAGCCUGUGGAAAUUCCAGAUUUCCAAAAACUGCAGGAAAUUUUCACUGGAGUGAAAUAUUUCCACUUCCACUGGGGUGCAAUUUCACUGGAGUGAAAUAUUUUCCAAAUUGGAGUUUAAUGAGAAACUGGAAAUGAAGGAGGAAUCAAAACCUCCGUGAGAAACAAAAAGAAACGUGGAGGGCUGCAGACUGAAGUGACACUUGGAGUGUCCCAAGCCAUC